GACGAACGCUGGCGGCGUGCUUAACACAUGCCAGUCGAACGGUGAAGCGCCUUCCUUUUUGGUGGGUGUGGAUGAGUGGCGAACGGGUGAGUAACACGUGAGUAACCUGCCCCCUUCUUCUGGAUAACCGCAUGAAAGUGUGGCUAAUACGGGAUAUUCUGGGUCUGUCGCAUGAUGGGUCUGGGAAAGAUAUUGUUUCGGUGGGGGAUGGGCUUGCGGCCUAUCAACUUGUUGGUGGGGUGAUGGCCUACCAAGGCGGUGACGGGUAGCCGGCCUGAGAGGGUGGACGGUCACACUGGGACUGAGACACGGCCCAGACUCCUACGGGAGGCAGCAGUGGGGAAUAUUGCACAAUGGGCGCAAGCCUGAUGCAGCGACGCCGCGUGAGGGAUGGAGGCCUUCGGGUUGCGAACCUCUUUCGCCAGUGAAGCAGGCCUGCCUCGUUUGUGGGUGGGUUGACGGUAGCUGGAUAAGAAGCGCCGGCUAACUACGUG
rnacentral:rRNA from 1 species